CGUUGGCCCGAACAAAUGAGCGCUUUGCGCGAGUNUAUGUCGGAGGCCUCCUCCAUUAUACUAACUAAUGUCAUAUGACCCUGUGAUACUCUAGUUGUGAAGGCCCUUGGCCAGAACAAACAAGCACUUUGCGCGAAUUCCGGCCGUAAGGCUACUAGGAUAAGUUCUCCAUCGAAAAUGUAGUUUAAUAUUUUAAUAAUAGGCUACAAGGAUAAAGCAACCCUGCUGUUUAACGCGUAGGAGGCCACCGGCCAACCAAAACAACGAUAGGACUGUCGAUUUGUCACAAAUCACAACAAAGUUGUAACUUAACACGGGCUUUCGGAAAACUCACAGCGCGUGGUUUUGUUCACAACAAAGUAUGCUUGUUGUACAAGUGCUGUGAGUCUAAAGCUACAAUAAACUCAGUUGGGCCAAGGAACCUCAUAAUGUUGUUUGUUGCGCCUUAACUGCAUUGUAGCUUAACGUUGUUUAACAUUCCCCGCGAUUGGCGGAGACAACUAGGCUCAUAAACAAAAAGCAUGUGCUUUGCCCCCUAACGUAGUUAAGUUUGAUGUAGGCAAUAAAACCGUUGGUCACAAAGACUAGGCGGUACUUCGUUGUGAAGUAAGAAGAUUACCGCCUCCCCCUUUAGGUAAAGCUGCAAAGCAUCGAGGCUGAAAGCCGGUAGCCGAGCGUACUGCGUUGGUCGCUGCGCCGCAAGCUGCGCUUUUUUUUAUGUAGUUUAUUUUAAACUCCCUUUGGGUCUUCGAUCCGCGUUGUGUAGUUGGCCGUUGGCAUCCCCUUCGGGGAAAGAAUUCAGCAGAACAGCAGCAAUGUUGUAGAACGUAGCCUUUGUCCGGUAGUAACACUAGACGCCUGCGCUAAGUGUCAGCGUGUUUUAACCCUAAAGAAAAUAAGCUACAAAGUAGAUAGUAGCUUAGUU
rnacentral:lncRNA from 1 species